rnacentral:rRNA from 1 species
UACGGGGGGAGCAAGCGUUGUUCGGAUUUACUGGGCGUAAAGGGCGCGUAGGCGGCCACCGCAAGUCGACUGUGAAAUCUCCGGGCUUAACUCGGAAAGGUCAGCCGAUACUGCGGGGCUAGAGUGCAGAAGGGGCAACUGGAAUUCUCGGUGUAGCGGUGAAAUGUGUAGAUAUUCGGAAGAACACCAGUGGCGAAGGCAGCAACUUGGUCUGGUAUCGACGCUCAGGCACGAAAGCAUGGGGAUCAAACAGG